GAUGAACGCUGGCGGCGUGCCUAAUACAUGCAAGUCGAGCGAACAGACGAGGAGCUUGCUCCCCUGACGUUAGCGGCGGACGGGUGAGUAACACGUGGAUAACCUAUCUAUAAGACUGGGAUAACUUCGGGAAACCGGAGCUAAUACCGGAUAAUAUAUUGAACCGCAUGGUUCAAUAGUGAAAGACGAUUUUGCUGUCACUUAUAGAUGGAUCCGCGCCGCAUUAGCUAGUUGGUAAGGUAACGGCUUACCAAGGCGACGAUGCGUAGCCGACCUGAGAGGGUGAUCGGCCACACUGGAACUGAGACACGGUCCAGACUCCUACGGGAGGCAGCAGUAGGGAAUCUUCCGCAAUGGGCGAAAGCUUGACGGAGCAACGCCGCGUGAGUGAUGAAGGUCUUCGGAUCGUAAAACUCUGUUAUUAGGGAAGAACAAAUGUGUAAGUAACUAUGCGCGUCUUGACGGUACCUAAUCAGAAAGCCACGGCUAACUACGUG
rnacentral:rRNA from 1 species